UACGAAGGGGGCUAGCGUUGCUCGGAAUCACUGGGCGUAAAGGGUGCGUAGGCGGGUCUUUAAGUCAGGGGUGAAAUCCUGGAGCUCAACUCCAGAACUGCCUUUGAUACUGAGGAUCUUGAGUUCGGGAGAGGUGAGUGGAACUGCGAGUGUAGAGGUGAAAUUCGUAGAUAUUCGGAAGAACACCAGUGGCGAAGGCGACUAACUGGACAUGUAUUGACGCUGAGGUACGAAAGCGUAGGGAGCAAACAGG
rnacentral:rRNA from 1 species